UACGAAGGGGGCUAGCGUUGCUCGGAAUCACUGGGCGUAAAGGGUGCGUAGGCGGGUCUUUUAAUCAAGGGUGAAAUCCUGGAGCUCAACUCCAGAACUGCCUUUGAUACUGAGGAUCUUGAGUACGGGAGAGGUGAGUGGAACUGCGAGUGUAGAGGUGAAAUUCGUAGAUAUUCGCAAGAACACCAGUGGCGAAGGCGGCUCACUGGCCCGUUACUGACGCUGAGGCACGAAAGCGUGGGGAGCAAACAGG
rnacentral:rRNA from 1 species